rnacentral:rRNA from 1 species
UACGUAGGGUGCGAGCGUUAAUCGGAAUUACUGGGCGUAAAGCGUGCGCAGGCGGUUCGUUGUGUCGGUGGUGAAAGCCCCGGGCUUAACCUGGGAAUGGCCAUGGAAACUGGCGAACUGGAGUGUGGCAGAGGGGGGUGGAAUUCCGCGUGUAGCAGUGAAAUGCGUAGAGAUGCGGAGGAACACCGAUGGCGAAGGCAGCCCCCUGGGCUGACACUGACGCUCAGGCACGAAAGCGUGGGGAGCAAACAGG